GUGAUAUCAAAUGCCAAGCAGAGGUCGAGUUCCUUCUGGAUUCUGAGAUCCACAGGGAGUUCCUCCAAUCCCAAGCGACUUUCCUGGGCAAAAGUUUCUUUGACAAAAACAAAUCCAUCUGUAACACUGGCAAGGGCGAAUCAUAUAGCAACGGCAAGUGCUACCCUCCAAGGUCUGGUUAUCAGUACCACCAACCGUGCUCAAAAGUCUUCAAGUGCCGUAGUCCAUAGAGGACUUUGGUGGCUAGGGAAGAAGACUCCAUGGAUAGGAGGCUGGUUUGGUUUACAUUUAAAGCUUAAUCUAAAUGAUGUAUAAGAACGUAUGUAACUUGACUAGAAUGAACUCUAUGUCGUCGUUUAUUCAGUGUUUACUCUUUUAGACCGCUCUCCUCUCUCUCCUCCGCAUCUUUAGUUUAUCCUAUGGGUCCAACAAAUGGCACUUAAGUCACGUUCCCUUCAAUAUUCCUGCAGUAGUAGUGUCCUAUGAUUUAAUUUUGUCUCUUUGUUCUGAG
rnacentral:lncRNA from 1 species